rnacentral:rRNA from 1 species
UAAAGGAAUUGGCGGGGGAGCACCACAAGGGGUGAAGCCUGCGGUUCAAUUGGAGUCAACGCCAGAAAUCUUACCCGGAGAGACAGCAGAAUGAAGGUCAAGCUGAAGACUUUACCAGACAAGCUGAGAGGUGGUGCAUGGCCGUCGCCAGCUCGUGCCGUGAGAUGUCCUGUUAAGUCAGGUAACGAGCGAGAUCCUCGCCACUAGUUGCUAUCAUUAUUCUCAGGAAUAGUGGGGCGAAUUAGUGGGACUGCCGUUGUUAAAACGGAGGAAGGAGGGGGCCACGGCAGGUCAGUAUGCCCCGAAACUCUGGGGCCACACGCGGGCUGCAAUGGUAGCGACAAUGAGCUCCAAACUCGAAAGAGAGUGGCAAUCUCUAAACGCUACCACAGUUAUGACUGAGGGCUGUAACUCGCCCUCACGAAUAUGGAAUCCCUAGUAACCGCGUGUCAUUACCGCGCGGUGAAUACGUCCCUGCUCCUUGCACACACCGCCA